UAUUGGUCAAUGGUCGGGAGACUGAACCAGCCUAGCCGCGUGAGGGAGGAAGGUACAGAGUAUCGUAAACCUCUUUUGUCAGGGAACAAAGGCGGGGACGUGUCCCCGGAUGAGUGUAGCUGAAGAAAAAGCAUCGACUAACUCCGUUCCAGCAGCCGCGGUAAUACGGAGGAUGCGAGCGUUAUCCGGAUUUAUUGGGUUUAAAGGGUGCGCAGGCGGUCUGUUAAGUCAGCGGUCAAAGCCCGGGGCUCAACCCCGGCCCGCCGUUGAAACUGGCAGUCUCGAGUUGGAGAGAAGUAUGCGGAAUGCGCGGUGUAGCGGUGAAAUGCAUAGAUAUCGCGCAGAACUCUGAUUGCGAAGGCAGCUUACUAAACUAUAACUGACACUGAAGCACGAAAGCGUGGGGAUCAAACAGG
rnacentral:rRNA from 1 species